rnacentral:snRNA from 1 species
GGAUGUGGCAAUUUGUCACCUCAUUGAUCACCAGGGUUAUUCUGCUGGUCUGGCUGACUAGGUGGGUGUCCCUUCCUCCCUCACUGCUCCACAUGUGUCCCUCCUGGACAAUUUUUGGUCAAGUGUAUAGGAAUAGCUGUACUCCCCCUUGCUACAACCUUCAAACAAGCUCUCAGGGUCCUUUUGUAGGAGACUAUAGGGUAGUCAAGCUUCUAAGAUUCCAGACAUCCAAAUGAGGUACUGCAGGUGGCCAUCUGCUUUUCUAA